rnacentral:misc_RNA from 1 species
CCCCGUUCUGUACCUCGGUGGGUGGCGCCUCCAGGUAAGGAGGGGAUUGGUUUAGGGUUCGAACACUGAAUAAAGAUGG